GAGCGGUGUGAUUGAUUCUGCGGCAUCCUCAACCACCCAGGGCAGCCCCAGGACCCCCCCAGUGACCCAGGGUGCAUCGUCCAGCUGGCUCCUCGCUCUUGCUGCAUCCCCAACCACCUUGGUACAAACAGGCAGCCCCAGCAUGCCCACAGCAACCCAAAGGGUCACAAGUGCAGGUACACCCACUCUGCACGCAGCAUCCAGGCGCUGCGAGAAAAAGUGUGCAACGACGCAGACAGCAGGCUUGCAAAGAAA